UUUUUCACCUGAUCACAACUGCAAUCUAAAAGUGUUUGUGUUUUACAGGCAAGCACUAGGGGGCGUGAUUGAGUCUGGCUUCAUAAAGCUGCCGGUAUAUUUCUGUCAGUCCAGUUUGAAACCGCUUAAUGUCCUGGCAGGACUGCGAAGAGCUCAAUACCAUCGACAGAGCCCUUGAGGUUUCUUCAUGGCAUUAUGUAAGUGCUGGUGCGCCUAGUUCAGGCAUCAUGGAUGUCUUCCUCAUAGUGACUGGCACUCUUCCACACGCUAUAUUACAGAAAGGAUUCCCACCUCUAAAUCAGUAGUGUUAGGAAUGAAAAUUGGUGUGCAACGGGAAUGAAAGGGAAGGCCAAACAGUAAAUAGUGAGUGAGACAGGAGGGGGAGUGUUGUUGUAGAAGUUGCGGCUUCAUUGGUGAUGGGCACCACUUCAAGUUUCUCUCUUGGGCUCCACCCCAAAAACCACUUUUAUAGUGCUGUUUACUAGCUGAAGCUUCCAAAGAUCUUUAUCACAAAGUCUUUGAUAGGCCAGAUUUCUUCCACAGUCCAUAUGCUGCUGGAUCUGAGCACCAGACCACAAGAGACGGGAAACCAACAGCACUUAUAGGACAGUAUAACACUUCACUUGUGUGUUCAGAUGUGCUGAAGUAUGUGCGGAUAUGCUCUACAGAUGCAGACCAUUAAUGAGAGGAAAUGGUCAGGGCAGAAAUGGUCUGUGGAGAGGAAAGGAGAGGUGAAAACCCAAAGUGACAAGGAAUGUAAAAAAGAGGGAAGGAAAGCUUGUAAUUCCUGUCGGGUUUCAUGCGGUCCAGAGACGGAGACAAAGGUGGUCUGUGGAAGACUGAGCAGAGACCCUGCCAUUGAAGAUCAUUUACAUAAUGGUGUAGACGUUUGGAAGAAAGGAAACAAAAGGAAUGAGAGGCCAUUGUAA
ensembl:lncRNA